CAGAACGAACGCUGGCGGCGCGUCUUAAGCAUGCAAGUCGAACGGCAAGAGGUAGCAAUACCUCCUAGAGUGGCGGACUGGUGAGUAACACGUGGGUGACAUACCCUUCAGGAUGGGGAUAGCUAUUAGAAAUAGUAGAUAAUACCGAAUACGAGCACAGGGGUUAGAGAUCUGUGAGGAAAGGAGCUAAGGCUCCGCUGAAGGAAUGGCCUGCGGCCCAUUAGCUAGUUGGUGAGGUAAGAGCCCACCAAGGCGAUGAUGGGUAUCCGGCCUUAGAGGGUGAACGGACACAUUGGGACUGAGAUACGGCCCAGACUCCUACGGGAGGCAGCAGCUAAGAAUAUUCCGCAAUGGACGAAAGUCUGACGGAGCGACGCCGCGUGGAUGAAGAAGGCCGGAAGGUUGUAAAAUCCUUUUGAAACUGAAGAAUAAGCGUUGUAGGGAAUGACAGCGUGGUGACAGUAGGUUUUGAAUAAGCAACGGCUAAUUACGUGCCAGCCGCAGC
rnacentral:rRNA from 1 species